CCACUGGGGGCCUGGGCGCGUGUGUGGCGUCACCAAUCCUGGCCUGUGUGUGACUCCCCAGGGUCCUCCACCAGCAGCCUGGCCCCAGGCCCUGAGCCAGGCCCCCAGCCCGCCCUGCACGUCCAGGCGCAGGUGAACAACAGCAACAACAAGAAGGGUACCUUCACGGACGACCUGCACAAGCUGGUGGACGAGUGGACGAGCAAGACGGUGGGGGCCGCGCAGCUGAAGCCCACGCUCAACCAGCUGAAGCAGACCCAGAAGCUGCAAGACAUGGAGGCCCAGGCAGGCUGGGCUGCCCCUGGCGAGGCGCGGGCUAUGACCGCACCUCGAGCAGGAGUGGGGAUGCCACG
rnacentral:lncRNA from 1 species